rnacentral:rRNA from 1 species
GAUGAACGCUAGCUACAGGCUUAACACAUGCAAGUCGAGGGGCAGCAUUUCAGUUUGCUUGCAAACUGGAGAUGGCGACCGGCGCACGGGUGAGUAACACGUAUCCAACCUGCCGAUAACUCGGGGAUAGCCUUUCGAAAGAAAGAUUAAUACCCGAUGGCAUAAUUAGACCGCAUGGUCUUAUUAUUAAAGAAUUUCGGUUAUCGAUGGGGAUGCGUUCCAUUAGGCAGUUGGUGAGGUAACGGCUCACCAAACCUUCGAUGGAUAGGGGUUCUGAGAGGAAGGUCCCCCACAUUGGAACUGAGACACGGUCCAAACUCCUACGGGAGGCAGCAGUGAGGAAUAUUGGUCAAUGGGCGCAGGCCUGAACCAGCCAAGUAGCGUGAAGGAUGACUGCCCUAUGGGUUGUAAACUUCUUUUAUAUGGGAAUAAAGUUUUCCACGUGUGGAAUUUUGUAUGUACCAUAUGAAUAAGGAUCGGCUAACUCCGUGCCAGCAGCCGCGGUAAUACGGAGGAUCCGAGCGUUAUCCGGAUUUAUUGGGUUUAAAGGGAGCGUAGGUGGACAGUUAAGUCAGUUGUGAAAGCUUGCGGCUCAACCGUAAAAUUGCAGUUGAUACUGGCUGUCUUGAGUACAGUAGAGGUGGGCGGAAUUCGUGGUGUAGCGGUGAAAUGCUUAGAUAUCACGAAGAACUCCGAUUGCGAAGGCAGCUCACUGGACUGCAACUGACACUGAUGCUCGAAAGUGUGGGUAUCAAACAGGAUUAGAUACCCUGGUAGUCCACACAGUAAACGAUGAAUACUCGCUGUUUGCGAUAUACAGUAAGCGGCCAAGCGAAAGCAUUAAGUAUUCCACCUGGGGGAGUACGCCGGCAACGGUGAAACUCAAAGGAAUUGACGGGGGCCCGCACAAGCGGAGGAACAUGUGGUUUAAUUAGAUGAUACGCGAGGAACCUUACCCGGGCUUAAAUUGCAUUUGAAGAUAUUGGAAACAGUAUAGCCGUAAGGCAAAUGUGAAGGUGCUGCAUGGUUGUCGUCAGCUCGUGCCGUGAGGUGUCGGCUUAAGUGCCAUAACGAGCGCAACCCUUAUCUUUAGUUACUAACAGGUCAUGUUGAGGACUCUAGAGAGACUGCCGUCGUAAGAUGUGAGGAAGGUGGGGAUGACGUCAAAUCAGCACGGCCCUUACGUCCGGGGCUACACACGUGUUACAAUGGGGGGUACAGAAGGCAGCUACCUGGUGACAGGAUGCUAAUCCCAAAAGCCUCUCUCAGUUCGGAUCGAAGUCUGCAACCCGACUUCGUGAAGCUGGAUUCGCUAGUAAUCGCGCAUCAGCCAUGGCGCGGUGAAUACGUUCCCGGGCCU